UCUCCGUUGGUGAACCAGCGGAGGGAUCAUUACCGAGUGUAAAAACUCCCAAACCAUUGUGAACCUACCACUGUUGCUUCGGCGGCCUCGCCCCGGGCGCGUUCGCGCGGCCCGGACCCAGGCGUCCGCCGGAGGCUCCAAACCCUGAUUACAUUAAAGAAUUCUUCUGAGUAACCGAUUAAAUAAAUCAAAACUUUCAACAACGGAUCUCUUGGUUCUG
rnacentral:misc_RNA from 1 species